rnacentral:rRNA from 1 species
AUUGGGACUGAGAUACGGCCCAGACUCCUACGGGAGGCAGCAGUGGGGAAUAUUGCACAAUGGGCGCAAGCCUGAUGCAGCGACGCCGCGUGCGGGAUGACGGCCUUCGGGUUGUAAACCGCUUUUGACUGGGAGCAAGCCCUUCGGGGUGAGUGUACCUUUCGAAUAAGCACCGGCUAACUACGUGCCAGCAGCCGCGGUAAUACGUAGGGUGCAAGCGUUAUCCGGAAUUAUUGGGCGUAAAGGGCUCGUAGGCGGUUCGUCGCGUCCGGUGUGAAAGUCCAUCGCUUAACGGUGGAUCCGCGCCGGGUACGGGCGGGCUUGAGUGCGGUAGGGGAGACUGGAAUUCCCGGUGUAACGGUGGAAUGUGUAGAUAUCGGGAAGAACACCAAUGGCGAAGGCAGGUCUCUGGGCCGUCACUGACGCUGAGGAGCGAAAGCGUGGGGAGCGAACAGGAUUAGAUACCCUGGUAGUCCACGCCGUAAACGGUGGAUGCUGGAUGUGGGGACCAUUCCACGGUCUCCGUGUCGGAGCCAACGCGUUAAGCAUCCCGCCUGGGGAGUACGGCCGCAAGGCUAAAACUCAAAGAAAUUGACGGGGGCCCGCACAAGCGGCGGAGCAUGCGGAUUAAUUCGAUGCAACGCGAAGAACCUUACCUGGGCUUGACAUGUUCCCGACAGCCCCAGAGAUGGGGCCUCCCUUCGGGGCGGGUUCACAGGUGGUGCAUGGUCGUCGUCAGCUCGUGUCGUGAGAUGUUGGGUUAAGUCCCGCAACGAGCGCAACCCU